rnacentral:rRNA from 1 species
CAGUAGCCGCGGUAAUACGUAGGGUGCGAGCGUUAAUCGGAAUUACUGGGCGUAAAGCGUGCGCAGGCGGUCCGCUAAGACAGAUGUGAAAUCCCUGGGCUUAACCUGGGAACUGCAUUUGUGACUGGCGAGCUAGAGUAUGGCAGAGGGGAGUAGAAUUCCACGUGUAGCAGUGAAAUGCGUAGAGGUGUGGAGGAAUACCGAUGGCGAAGGCAGCUCCCUGGGCCAAUACUGACGCUCAUGCACGAAAGCGUGGGGAGCAAACAGGAUUAGAUAACCGCGUAGUCCCUGUCUCUUAUAC